CUAAAUCCCCAAAUUAAAACCCACUAACCCUAACCUUACCUCACCGCCACUCACUCUACUCUCUCUUAACACAUACAACCGUAUCAAACUCCUGCACCUAAGCCAUUCCAAUUUGCAAUUCCAUUUCAUUCAUAGAUUCCAUUAUUAAAUAAUGUCAUGAGAUGAUUUAGUUAAUUUCCCAAACCCAACAAUCCCUAAAGCCCCUCGAAUCUCACCACUCCAUUGAUUCAUGCAUUUUCCAAUUCGGUACAUGGAAGCCCUUCACCAACAAGCACCCUUGUCUCUCCGAAGGCAAAACCCCUUCUGUUCCAAUUGAUUUUUCCAAGCUUUCUCUUCUCGACGAUGAUUCCACUCCUAAACCCGUCAAUUCAUCAUCCUGCCAUCAUUACUACAUGAAGCUGUCGAACGGAGCUGAGGAAGAGAGAGGGACGAACUCGUGAGGGAGAAGGAGAAGAGGUUGUGCCGCCGCCGCUACGAGGGUCCGUCGCCGUCGCCAAAGCUCGCAAUGCCGUCGGAAAGCCAGCCGCGGUGAGAGAGAGAGCGCUCAUGAGGGUUAGAGCCGCGAGGAGUUGUGAACCGCCGCUGCUGACGGAGAAGAGAAGGAAUCCGAGAGGAGAGGAAGAGAAGCUGCGCCGCCUCCUCGCGCCAGUCAUCGUCACAAGCUCCGUCGCCACUGUUGGAGGUGGGUUGUUGAGCUUGUGUCGCCGGAAAAUGGCGUUGCCGUAGCUGAGGUCCAUUGCCGUUGUCGUUGCUGAGCUUCUGGCCACCGGGAACGGUGCUGUGGCCGCUGGAACCUUGGUUUGAGUCACUGCCGAUAGUCACUGAUAGAGGUUGAGUAUUGCCGCUAGUGUUGCCGCGGGGUUGCUGAAGCUGCUACUAGUUCUGAUUUUGUUAUCUUGGAUUGUAAUUGCUUUUAAUUCCUAUCCAAUUUGGAUUUUCCAUUUUGCUGCAACCAUGGCCAUUGCUGUGAAGACUAACAAUAUCACCGUUCCGGUUGCUGCCACUGUCGUUCCAGUUGCGUGAGAGUCGCAGCUGUUGCCAUGAACUAAAAGGAGAGGGAAUUAUCACAAUAAAUUUGUGCGAACUCGAUUAAUCGAGGUAGGGGUUUUUCUUAAAAUCUAAUUUAUAUUACAGAGUUGUGAUAACUAGAUAUUAAUGUGAGAGAACAUAUGUCUGUGAUUAUGAUUGUCUUCUGAAUGUGGUUGUUUGCUGGACUGAAUGACUGAUUGCUUGAUUGCGUGGGUAGUUUGUGAUUGCUGAAAAGAAAUUAGUUUGAAAAGUUAUUUAGUUGAUUAAGGAAAAAAUGGCUUUUCUCGGUGUUGAAACUAUUUUCGAUAAUGUAAAGGAAUUGGCUUUGGAAAUGGUUUAAUUUUGAGUUAGUGACUUUAUAAAUGAUUUAGUAUUUGAGCUGGUUUGAUUUAAAAAAAAAAGAUUUAUUAUGGGCACUGAUUCGCUUUGAAAAUAAUUUGAUAUUGGAACUAGCUGAAUCUUGGAAAAUGAUUGAGAUUUGAAAAAGGUUUGAGAAAUGUUUGGAUGGAACCCAAACAGGGUGGCAAAGUCCGAGUUUUAGAGGAAAUGCUGCCGAAAUUUUAUAAAAUUGAAAGUUUUGGUUGAAGUAAUUGUUUAAAAAGAUUUAGUUCUUAAACGUUAUUUAUUUAAGAUUGAUUUAUUUAGAAAAUAAAGAAUUAUGUUUUGGAUUGAGAUUGUUGAUUAACGGAAAGAAGGAUGAUGGGGAUUGAUUUGAAAUAUGAUUUUAGAAUGAAUUUGGAAAUGGGAUAUGGAUUGAUGAAUGAUGGUGAUAUUGAAAAUGGCUUAGAUAUUGAUGAAUGAUGAAUGAAUUGUUUAUAUGGCUUAUGAAUUUGAAAUAUCUUGAGAUACGAGGUUCCCUGGAUUAAGUGCCGUGGCUUGCCACCACGUGUACCAGGUUGAAAACUCGAUACUCUGUUGACCCUACGAUGUAAUUGUGUGACCGGGCACUAUACAAAUUCCCGGGAAUGUUACCCCCAUUGAGUAAUAUUGAUUAUUUGAGAAAAAGCUAUGCAUAGACUCUUGGGGAUGCACGUCGGGGGACAGUCUAAGUACAAUUCAGACUUGUCGGGUUGGCUGGAUAACCGACAGAUGAGCCUCAUCAGCCAUAGGACAGGCAUGCAUCAUAUGCAUCUGUAUGCUUUGCUUGGGUUUGAACUUGUUUUGGUUUGCCUAAUUGCUAAACUGUUCUUAACUGCUACUUGAACUAUUUGCUGUAACUGCUUCCUACUUGUGCUUUCCUUGUCUGUCUUGCCUGUGUUUGUCCUGGCGUGUUACAUUUGAGAAUGGACUUAGGUGCUGAAUUAAUGAUUGUGUUGUUUGAUUGCGUGGUUAGUUUCUGAUUGAGAUUUGCUUAUGAGAAAAGGAAGACUUUGGAUUUCUGAAAAUAUUAAACAUUGUUUCUUUGAAAAUGUUUUAAACGAUUAGCUGUUGAAUUUUAAAAGGAUUUAUAAGGCAACGAUAGUCACUGAAUUUGAAACAGUUUUCUUAUUGAAUAUCUUCUUAUGACAACUUUGAAACUCCGUG